GAUGAACGCUGGCGGCGUGCCUAAUACAUGCAAGUCGAGCGAACGGACGAGAAGCUUGCUUCUCUGAUGUUAGCGGCGGACGGGUGAGUAACACGUGGAUAACCUACCUAUCAGACUGGGAUAACUUCGGGAAACCGGAGCUAAUACCGGAUAAUAUUUUGAACCGCAUGGUUCAAAAGUGAAAGACGGUCUUGCUGUCACUUAUAGAUGGAUCCGCGCUGCAUUAGCUAGUUGGUAAGGUAACGGCUUACCAAGGCAACGAUGCAUAGCCGACCUGAGAGGGUGAUCGGCCACACUGGAACUGAGACACGGUUCAGACUCCUACGGGAGGCAGCAGUAGGGAAUCUUCCGCAAUGGGCGAAAGCCUGACGGAGCAACGCCGCGUGAGUGAUGAAGGUCUUCGGAUCGUAAAACUCUGUUAUUAGGGAAGAACAUAUGUGUAAGUAACUGUGCACAUCUUGACGGUACCUAAUCAGAAAGCCACGGCUAACUACGUGCCAGCAGCCGCGGUAAUACGUAGGUGGCAAGCGUUAUCCGGAAUUAUUGGGCGUAAAGCGCGCGUAGGCGGUUUUUUAAGUCUGAUGUGAAAGCCCACGGCUCAACCGUGGAGGGUCAUUGGAAACUGGAAAACUUGAGUGCAGAAGAGGAAAGUGGAAUUCCAUGUGUAGCGGUGAAAUGCGCAGAGAUAUGGAGGAACACCAGUGGCGAAGGCGACUUUCUGGUCUGUAACUGACGCUGAUGUGCGAAAGCGUGGGGAUCAAACAGGAUUAGAUACCCUGGUAGUCCACGCCGUAAACGAUGAGUGCUAAGUGUUAGGGGGUUUCCGCCCCUUAGUGCUGCAGCUAACGCAUUAAGCACUCCGCCUGGGGAGUACGACCGCAAGGUUGAAACUCAAAGGAAUUGACGGGGACCCGCACAAGCGGUGGAGCAUGUGGUUUAAUUCGAAGCAACGCGAAGAACCUUACCAAAUCUUGACAUCCUUUGACAACUCUAGAGAUAGAGCUUUCCCCUUCGGGGGACAAAGUGACAGGUGGUGCAUGGUUGUCGUCAGCUCGUGUCGUGAGAUGUUGGGUUAAGUCCCGCAACGAGCGCAACCCUUAAGCUUAGUUGCCAUCAUUAAGUUGGGCACUCUAAGUUGACUGCCGGUGACAAACCGGAGGAAGGUGGGGAUGACGUCAAAUCAUCAUGCCCCUUAUGAUUUGGGCUACACACGUGCUACAAUGGACAAUACAAAGGGCAGCGAAACCGUGAGGUCAAGCAAAUCCCAUAAAGUUGUUCUCAGUUCGGAUUGUAGUCUGCAACUCGACUACAUGAAGCUGGAAUCGCUAGUAAUCGUAGAUCAGCAUGCUACGGUGAAUACGUUCCCGGGUCU
rnacentral:rRNA from 1 species